UACGUAGGUGACCAGCGUUGUCCGGAUUUACUGGGCGUAAAGAGCGCGCAGGCGGUCGUUCAAGUCGAGUGUGAAAGCCCCCGGCUCAACUGGGGAGGGUCAUUCGAUACUGAUCGACUCGAAGGCAGGAGAGGGUAGUGGAAUUCCCGGUGUAGUGGUGAAAUGCGUAGAUAUCGGGAGGGACACCAGUGGCGAAGGCGACUACCUGGCCUGUUCUUGACGCUGAGGCGCGAAAGCUAGGGGAGCAAACGGG
rnacentral:rRNA from 1 species